rnacentral:rRNA from 1 species
GACGAACGCUGGCGGCGUGCUUAACACAUGCAAGUCGAACGGAAAGGCCCUGCUUUUGUGGGGUGCUCGAGUGGCGAACGGGUGAGUAACACGUGAGUAACCUGCCCUUGACUUUGGGAUAACUUCAGGAAACUGGGGCUAAUACCGGAUAGGAGCUCCUGCUGCGUGGUGGGGGGUGGAAAGUUUCGGCGGUUGGGGAUGGACGCGCGGCUUAUGAGCUUGUUGGUGGGGUAGUGGCUUACCAAGGCUUUGACGGGUAGCCGGCCUGAGAGGGUGACCGGCCACAUUGGGACUGAGAUACGGCCCAGACUCCUACGGGAGGCAGCAGUGGGGAAUAUUGCACAAUGGGAGGAAGCCUGAUGCAGCAACGCCGCGUGCGGGAUGACGGCCUUCGGGUUGUAAACCGCUUUCGCCUGUGACGAAGCGUGAGUGACGGUAAUGGGUAAAGAAGCACCGGCUAACUACGUG